GACGAACGCUGGCGGCGUGCUUAACACAUGCAAGUCGAACGGUGAAGCGCCUUCCUUUUUGGUGGGUGUGGAUGAGUGGCGAACGGGUGAGUAACACGUGAGUAACCUGCCCCCUUCUUCUGGAUAACCGCAUGAAAGUGUGGCUAAUACGGGAUAUUCUGGGUCUGUCGCAUGAUGGGUCUGGGAAAGAUAUUGUUUCGGUGGGGGAUGGGCUCGCGGCCUAUCAGCUUGUUGGUGGGGUGAUGGCCUACCAAGGCGGUGACGGGUGGCCGGCCUGAGGGGUGGGCGGGCCACAUGGGAGCGGGGCCACGGCCAGACUGCUAACGGGGGCAGCCGGUGGGGAGAUUGGAACAUGGGGGGAAGGCUGAAGGAGGCGAGGCGCGGUAGGGAUGGAGGCCUUCGGGUUGUGAACCUCUUUCGCCAGUGAAGCAGGCCUGCCUCGUUUGUGGGUGGGUUGACGGUAGCUGGAGAAGAAGCGCCGGCUAACUACGUG
rnacentral:rRNA from 1 species